AUGUAAUAUAAUGCCUAUAGUGUUAAUGCAUUGAAUCCCAUUAGAAAUCUGCAGUUAAGCACACUUGGGCUAGAGCAAAACUAAGAUGGGUGACCCACCGGGAAGUCCUAAUGUUUUGUAUG
rnacentral:rRNA from 1 species